rnacentral:hammerhead_ribozyme from 1 species
GCACUGCUGACGAAUCCCAAACAGGACGAAACAGCUGUUCAGUGC